AGGGGAAUAUUGCACAAUGGGCGCAAGCCUGAUGCAGCCAUGCCGCGUGUAUGAAGAAGGCCUUCGGGUUGUAAAGUACUUUCAGCGGGGAGGAAGGGAGUAAAGUUAAUACCUUUGCUCAUUGACGUUACCCGCAGAAGAAGCACCGGCUAACUACGUGCCAGCAGCCGCGGUAAUACGGAGGGUGCAUGCGUUAAUCGGAAUUACUGGGCGUAAAGCGAACGCAGGCGGUUUGUUAAGUCAGAUGUGAAAUCCCCGAGCUACACCUGGGGACUGCAUCUGAUACUGGCAAGCUUGAGUCUCGUAGAGGGGGGUAGAAUUCCAGGUGUAGCGGUGAAAUACGUAGAGAUCUGGAGUAAUGCCGGUGGCGAAGGCAGCCCCCUGGACGAAAACUGACGCACAGGUGCGAAAGCGGGGGGAGCAAACAGG
rnacentral:rRNA from 1 species